rnacentral:rRNA from 1 species
AACGCGAAGAACCUUACCUGGGCUCGAACGGCUUAAGAUCAUCUUUGGAAACAGAGACUUCUCGCAAGAGACUUGAGUCGAGGUGCUGCAUGGCUGUCGUCAGCUCGUGUCGUGAGAUGUUGGGUUAAGUCCCGCAACGAGCGCAACCCUUGUCCUGUGUUGCCACUCCCCUUAAAAGGAAGCACUCGCAGGAGACCGCCAGCGAUAAGUUGGAGGAAGGUGGGGAUGAUGUCAAGUCAUCAUGGCCUUUAUGUCCAGGGCUACACACGUGCUACAAUGGCCGGUACAAACCGCUGCAAACCCGCGAGGGGGAGCUAAUCGGAAAAAACCGGUCUCAGUUCGGAUCGCAGGCUGCAACUCGCCUGCGUGAAGCUGGAAUCGCUAGUAAUGGUGUAUCAGAACGAUACCGUGAAUACGUUCCCGGGCCUUGUA